ensembl:lncRNA
CUGGUUUUCAAGAGUGGAAAAAGAACACAGAGCUUUCGGAUAUUCACUGACCUUUGUUAGAGUAAAGUUAUUAUUGAAGUUGCUCUGAUCAAGAGAGAAAAAUGAAUACGUUUCUGAAUGCACUUAAAGCUGGAGAGGAAACGACAACGGACCCCAAGGACACACCUGAAGUGUAUGUCUGGGCCACAGAACCGGCUCUGGUCCAACCCACAGAGGUUCCUCAGGACCAGCGUUCCAUGACAAAACUUGAGGAGAAACACCAGAAGGCUGAGGAUUCCAUUGCUCAGCUGGAGGUGGAGAAGGCAAACCUGACCAACCAGGAGUAUGAGCGUGAACGGGAGGCUCACAGCAUCCUCCAGAAGGAGGACGAUGAGAUGACGGAGACUCUGAUGCACAAGGAGGAGUUACUAAAGAGCUCCAUGGUGAAAGCUGAGAAGAAACACCAGAAAGCUGUGGAGACUAUUGCUCAGCUGGAGGUGGAGAAGUCUGACCUAAAAGACCAGGUAGAGACACUGCGAAGAACAGUGCAGAAAAUAGGGAACAUGCUCACUGAGACUCACAGGGAGUGUGAAGCGCUAACAAAUAAGUAUGAGCAAAAGCAGGAGGCUAACAGCAUCCUCGAGGCGGUGAACGAUGAGAUGAUGAAGACUCUGAAGGAGCUUGAGAUGAAGAACAAUGAGAUGAAGCAGACUCUGAUGGAAAAAGAGGAAUUACUGAUGACUCCCUGGCAGAGACUGAGGAGCAACACCACGAGGCUGUGGAGUUGGUUUCCGAGGCGGAGGCAGAGAACUACGACCUGACUAAUCCAAUGAAGACCCUGGUACAGUGGGGGAAAUAAGUAUUGGAUGCGUCAACAUUUUCUUCAAGAAAUAUAUUUUCAAUGAGGCUAUUCACAUGAAAUUUUCACCAGACAUCAGUAUUAACUCAAGAAAUCUGGAAAUAUAAAGAAUUCUCAACAUUAAAGUCCAAACAUAAAGUGGAAUGACAAAUGUUCCUUAGUAGUAGUACUCUGUAAUGCCUCUGUUCCUUCUUACUGGUUAAAGCUGACUUAUAGCUUACUGGUUACGGCUUAAACUCUUACAUAAUCGACAUAUACUUGCAGUAAGUGUUCUGAUCACCCAAAUGAACUUUGUGUGACUCACUCCUUUUAUACUAUGCUUGUGUUUCAAGUGUUUUGUUGUCUUAAGUGACGUUUGUGUUACUAUCCUCUGCUUUUUAAUUAUAAGAUGGACAGACACUCCAGGUGAGUACAGUACACAUGCCUCACUAACAGAGACGAUUCAUUCUGUUUAUUCAUGUUUGAUGUAACGUUGGUGCAGUGUGGGAGCUUUAGUGAUUGCACCAACACUAACCUUGCUAAUAAAGUUCAUG